rnacentral:misc_RNA from 1 species
AACGCACAUUGCGCCCGCCAGCACUCUGGCGGGCAUGCCUGUCCGAGCGUCAUUUCAACCCUCAGGGCCCCUCUCUCUCGGGAGGGGCGCUGGUGUUGGGGAUCGGCCCGCCCCCGCGCGGCUGCCGGCCCCGAAAUACAGUGGCGGUCUCGCUGUAGCCUCCCCUGCGUAGUAACAUACCUCGCACUGGAGAGCAGCGCGGCCACGCCGUGAAACCCCCAACUUCUGAAUGUUGACCUCGGAUCAGGUAGGACUACCCGCUGAACUUAA